UACGGAAACCUGCCAAAUCUCUAUCCUCACUGCAGGGAGCUCCUCAUGCUGCCAGGCAGUAAGGAAAACAGAUGGCUGUUGCUUUUGAAGCCACUAACAUUCAUUUCUGUGCCUGUUGUGUAUUUUUUCCUCCUUCCCCUCAAGUUUCCAACUCCUGCAGUAGCUCCUGUAGCAGCCAGCCAUUGGCAGACAUGCUGGAAGGCAGCCACGCAGGCGGACCUUACAUGAAUGUUAACGGUUGAUUUUUGCCUGCCCUGGCUUCCUGAAGAAUUGCUGUUCUUUGUAUUGUGACACAACUGGGACCACAGGCUCAGCUUCUGACUUUGUCUGGUGCUUCCUGUUGGGAUGUGUACAUAUGGAUACUCAGAAAUACUAUGAAGAAAUUAAAUAAGAUUAUUCAGCAAUAAAUCAGAAUUUCUGGUUCUGGCCGGCUUUUAAGUUUGGAUCCGCAAACAGUUGAAGAUCAAAAGUUGAAGCUUCUGUAUUUUCUAAUCUAAUUUUAUAUCUCAUUCUUCAGAUUUCAUGAGUAUUUUAAUGUUUUGCAGAUAUCAGGACAUUUUCCUUCAUUGAGCUUAUCCAGGGGCAUUUAGGAAACCUCAUCUAUUUUCUGGGGUAUUCUAGUCCUUACAGUAUAAAUCUCACAUUUAAACUCCAUAGUAAGUCAUACUGGCAACUUCUUUUUUAAGAAGAUUCACAUUAAAAAUGCCUCUGUGGCAUCAACCUGCUUUUAAUUUAGAAUGUUUUCAUAUAGUUUCUUUUUUUGCAGUAUUACUGGACAAGAGAACCUUGUGGACUUCUUGUCCUUGUAAGGAUUUGCAAAAACACCCUGAAACAAUGUUUAGUGAGACUAUGCUUUGUACUAGCUGAAAUUAUGUUGGUGAGGGUUGGUAACAUGAAAUUAAAUGAUACACACUAAAUAGGGUUUGUUGGCUGGCAAACUGGUGGAAAGUGAAGAAAGAGGAAUGUCUGGGUAAGGACGACUACUGUGUAGUAGCAAGCUGACUGUGAUUUCAGAGAAAAUACAUCUAAUUUUGUCUUAGGGAACUCCCUGAAUUUGCACCUGGUGUUCCUAUAGAAAUAGGUAUGUCUUGAGUCCA